GAUGAACGCUGGCGGCGUGCCUAAUACAUGCAAGUCGAGCGAACGGACGAGAAGCUUGCUUCUCUGAUGUUAGCGGCGGACGGGUGAGUAACACAUGGAUAACCUAACUAUAAGACUGGGAUAAUUUCGGGAAACCGGAGCUAAUACCGGAUGAUAUUUUGAACUGCAUUGUUCAAAAGUUAAAGACGGUCUUGCGGUCACUUAUAGAUGGAUCCGCGCUGCAUUAGCUAGUUGGUAAUGUAACGGCUUACCAAGGCAACGAUGCAUAGCCGACCUGAGAGCGAGGUCGGCCACACGGGAACAGAGACACGGUCGCGACUCCUGCGGGAGGAAGCAGUCGGGACUCUUCCGCGAUGCGCGAAAGCCUGACAGAGCACCGCCGCGUGAAUGAUGAAGGACUUCGGAUCGUAAAGCUCUGUUAGUAGGAAAGAACAUAUGUGUAAGUAACUGUGCACAUAUUGACAGUACCUAGUCAGAAAGCCACGGCUAACUCCGUG
rnacentral:rRNA from 1 species